rnacentral:lncRNA from 1 species
UAUUGUAAAUUUUCCAGCAAAAUACUAAUAUUCUCCAGCUCCCAAUCAUUAAAGUUCCGUCUAAACUGAAGAUGGCACUCAGAGUUAGAAAUACAAUCAGCUACUAUUAUAAUUCAAGAAAUUGGUCUUUGAAUACCCCAACUUCCUGCCAAUGAUCUAACCAAACUAUGUUAUGCUUCAUAUCCCCCGAUUUUAAUCUUGUAAGUUAUUGGAAUUCAACACAAAGAUUACAUAUUUACCUUCAUAAAGUUGUCCUAUUAGGCAUGGAUAUAGAACAUGAUUGAGAGUCCAAUGAUUCUCCUUUCCGUACUUUGUGACAAUGACUAUGUUCAGAUGCAAAACUUCCAUUGCCUUUCGUCCCCGCCUCAACUAUAUCAUAUAUUCCGGCAAUCACCAUAAGCGUAGGCUUUAGACAUGUACCAGAAAAAGAAGCCAUUGAUGUCUCUCCAUCUAUCAAUCAACUUAUACACAAAUGUAUGAAUUGAAAAUUAAUGCACAUUACAAUUACAUAAGGAAAUUUUUUGAGGUUAUCAUUAUUACUGAAUACACCUGGAGGCCAUUAGCUUCUCUCUUUGUUAAGUUAUGUAAUCAUGAUUGAAGGAAAGAUAUGGUAUUCUUAUCAACAUAACACAUACCUUAACUCCUAAUUUUGAUAACCUCAAAACUUCUCACACCCAAUACAAUCAGACAAAGAAAUAUUAUUCAGGUAAAUAAUAUAGCCAAAUAAUAAAUUUUGGAGUGUUAGAACGGCACCUACCUUAUUUAAGUUGGAGCAGUACUCCAAGCCUUGUCCAGAAAUCUCUCGUGGACUUGUUGAAGCAAAACUCCUGCAGCCUUUUCCCAGAGCAAAGCUGUCGCAUCCUUUUUUCUAGUCAUGAUUCAUACCAUACGCGAGAAGCAAUUAAAGCAGAAGGGCCAAAAAAAUGAAAGAAAAGCUUAAAAGAAAAUCAAAGGAUCAAGAUUUCUCUUGCUUUAUGCCAAAACUCAUUCAAAAUGCAAACAUUAUAUAAUAUUCACUAAAUACUCCAAAAAUGUUAAGCUAUUGACAUUGCCGAAUGUCAAUGUGUGUUCAAUCUCGUAAGAGAGCAGGAAAAACUCUUGAAUUUUUGGUUCGCCUGCCAUAGUUGUACAUUACCUAAGUACUAUGCUUUUGUGCACAAAAAUUAUAAACAACAUUAAACUGCUAAAAGAUUAAAAAAUUAAGAAGGUUAACAAUGGAGUACUCAAUUUAUAUGAUCGAAAAAAAUAAGUAAAUUCAAAUGAAGCAUGAAAGCCGGGAACGAAGGAUGGUAUGAACAGACAUACCUUACAAAUGAGAAGAAGAACAAUUAACUUAAAGGCUCAGUUGCAAGCAAUGAAACUGCAGUACAUAUGGCUUGAAGCAUUAAAAGAGAUAUAAUAACAAACCAAAGAGAAGAAAAAAAGCACAAGAAAAUGUUAUAAAGCUGUAACUACAUGAAGAAAUUCCAGUAGCAGUAUAUAUAUGCCAUAUAUACUAUGGUGAUACUGGCACUAUGAUUUGGUUGAGAAACUUUCUAAGAAAGUGGUUAGAGGUGAAAACCUCUAUUGAUUUCUUCUUUGUCUGUAAACCUCAAUAAGUUGAGCAUCUAUAGUCCUCACCAGCACAUUUCAUGUCUGUUUAUAUCAUCUUAUUUGCACUUGCUUGCUUCUCAAAUUCAAUACUAUAUUUUGAUGAAUUUAACAUUUGGUUAUACAUACGUCAAAGUUUUUAGAGAUUAAAUAGCAAAGAUACAUUAUAGGCGAUUAUUUUGCAUAUCCCCUUCAUUUGAUGAUCAUAUUUUGGUGGGGGGUUUUUUCAUGAUCACUACAUUGUUGAACCAAUGUUAUAUGCAUAUGUCGCUUCAAAUAGAAAACAAUAACGUAGAGAAGAUUGAAAAUUAUGACCUAAACUAUAACAUUAAUUGAAAGACAUUGUUGUCGAAUCCUAACACCCUAGUGAUAUAAUAGGGGAAUAUAUGAUAAUAGUAGUUCAAAAUAUUUAGACCAGUAUAUCUGAACUGCGCGAAAAUCUGAGUGGCGAAGAAUAUUAGAAAAGUACCUCAAUCUCGUAAUGGCAUUUUCUGUUCGUAUUCCUUGUACGUCAACACCUAUAUUUGUUGAGCGGACAAGUUUAUUUGUCCUCGUAUUCCUUGUGCGUCCACACCUAUAUUAAUUGAGCGCACAGACUCUAGGUGCAUCAAACAUAAUUUUUUUUAAAAUACAAUUAGAUUAAUCAAAUAAACCAUGAGAAUAACUGGUAAGCAUAAUCGGAAAAAAUUCUUUGAAAAGGAUUACAUACCGAAAUUUGUUGGGUGCACCGAAGCAGUUUGUGAUUCCUGAUUUUGUUUUUCGUCGAAUAGUUCAUGAUUUGUAAAGUAAGUAUGCCGUGGGUAAAUAAUGAAUACAUUAUCAGGGAAUUAGAGAUAUUGUUUCAAAUAAAAACUAUAGAACAAAGAAGGUAGAGAGGGCGAUUGAAAAGAUGGAGAAGCACAGGGAAAUUGGAAGAUAUAGAAGGGGAGUAAUUAGGGGAAAAGGGAGUAACAAAUCGUUGCCAUACAACCGUUGUGAGAGAAUGUUGAGUAGAUGGGGAAGUACUGAUAAUUUGCAAGAGAUUACAGAACCGGUGUUCAUGUGAAGCGAUUUUGGUGUAUUUUGAGAUGAAAAUUGCGUUUUAAAAAGGCCAA